rnacentral:rRNA from 1 species
UGGGGAAUAUUGCACAAUGGGGGAAACCCUGAUGCAGCCAUGCCGCGUGUGUGAGAAGGCCUUCGGGUUGUAAGCACUUUCAGUAGGGAGGAAAGGUUGUAAGUUAAUACCUUGCAGCUGUGACGUUACCUACAGAAGAAGGACCGGCUAACUCCGUGCCAGCAGCCGCGGUAAU